UACGUAGGGGGCAAGCGUUGUCCGGAUUUAUUGGGCGUAAAGAGCGUGUAGGCGGCCUUACAGGUCAGCUGUGAAAACUCGAGGCUCAACCUCGAGACGUCGGUUGAAACCGUAAGGCUAGAGUCCGGAAGAGGAGAGUGGAAUUCCCGGUGUAGCGGUGAAAUGCGUAGAUAUCUGGAGGAACACCGGUGGCGAAGGCGGCAUCCUGGACCGGUAUUGACGCUGAGGCGCGAAAGCUAGGGGAGCAAACGGG
rnacentral:rRNA from 1 species